rnacentral:ncRNA from 2 species
CAUCCAUCCCGAGCGGCCGAGAGAUCUGGCUCUGCGACGCCGCAGCAACCACCCAUCGUUGGGCAGGUGCUACCGCCAGGAGCGAUGGAGG